UACGUAGGGGGCAAGCGUUGUCCGGAAUCAUUGGGCGUAAAGAGCGUGUAGGCGGCCCGGUAAGUCCGCUGUGAAAGUCCAGGGCUCAACCCUGGGAUGCCGGUGGAUACUGUCGGGCUCGAGUCCGGAAGAGGAGUGUGGAAUUCCUGGUGUAGCGGUGAAAUGCGCAGAUAUCAGGAGGAACACCAGUGGCGAAAGCGCACUCUGGGACGGUGACUGACGCUGAGACGCGAAAGCGUGGGGAGCAAACAGGAU
rnacentral:rRNA from 1 species